UCUGUUCAGUUCGCCAUUGUGGCUGCCUUGCUUGGCUUGGCCUACGCUACAGAAACCCCUGAGGAUGCUGUCAGGGUAAAGCGAGGUUUCUUCGGUGGCGGUGGUGGCGGCGGCUAUGGCGGUGG